UACGUAGGGUGCGAGCGUUUAAUCGGAAUUACUGGGCGUAAAGCGUGCGCAGGCGGUUUUGUAAGUCAGAUGUGAAAUCCCCGGGCUCAACCUGGGAACUGCGUUUGAAACUACAAGGCUAGAGUGUAGCAGAGGGGGGUAGAAUUCCACGUGUAGCAGUGAAAUGCGUAGAGAUCGGGAGGAACACCAGUGGCGAAGGCGGCUACCUGGACCAGCACUGACACUGAGGCACGAAAGCGUGGGGAGCAAACAGGG
rnacentral:rRNA from 1 species